GAUAAGUGUGCAACAAUCUCUCAUUUUCUCAAAGUUGUCUAUUUGCCUAUAUGAUGCAACUCACUUUCCAUUUGUGAAGUAUUCCAAUAACUAUUAUCCAACUCAACCCGGAUUUGGCCAAAUUCAACCCACACCAUUAUGACAACGUUGCAUGGAUUUGAUGUUCGAUAAAAUGUCUGUGUGAUUGUGGAGUGUGUUUUGGAUGAUGCAUCUAAGGUGUUCGACAAAAUGUGUGUGCGAGUGUGAAAUGUGUUUUUUCUUAUGAUUUUAUGGAGUUGGUGCUUCUGCUAAUAUAAAGGUAAUGUGGCUAUUUGCUAUAGACAAAGGUGGUGGCAAAAAUGGCAAAGAAAUUCUAACCUCUCUACAUAUCUUGAAUCCCAUUAAAUUGCAAAGUUAAAAAAGCUACCAAAAAAGUAAAACUGUUUUUACAUCAAAAAAUAGCAAAGUAGAUUGAUCCUCUGUGCCACUAUCAACAAUUUCAGGACAAUGGCAUGUGACUUGUACCAACCUCUUCAUAUUUUGUUUCCUUCAUAUUAAAGUUGGUCUGUUAAUUUUGUCAACAAACUUUGAUAUAGGUGUUCAAAAAUAUACAUGAAUCAGUGUAUGUUAUUUUGAUUUCCCUUCACAAAUCUUGUUUCUUUAGGUAAUGCAUAUUUGUCUUAUAUACUGUUUCUCUAAUGUACUAUUUAAUUUGAUUGCUUUCACAAAUAUAAGGUAAUUAGUAUAGUCAUUGAAACAAGUUUGCCUUAAUUUAUCCGUGGAUGCAUUCCUUUGAUUUUAUAAUGUUUUCAUCAUAUAGAUGUCUUGUUUGUUCUUUUUCAUAUGUGAAUCAACGAGUUUUUUAUUCUACUUUAAUUUCAGUUGGUUAACUUUCUAUUUUCAACUUCUAGAAAUUUAAUAGUCUGUUGGGUAUAUCAGAAGUCUUAGUGAAUUUUCAGCUACUAUUUGCAGCUUCAACUUAGUGAAUUUUCUGUGAUUUUAGAACUCCAAUUAUAUUAUGAUGUGAUCAGAUACUGAUUGAACAAACUCUUGAAAUUUUUGCCUCAAUAGGAAUUAGAAACUCUUAUUUAAGAUGGGAUACAUGAUAUAUAGUACAUAAUACAAGUUCAUAGAUUCUCAUAUAUAUAAAAUAUCAUAUGAUGAAAGUUGGUAGGCUUCUUCAUUGCAGACACACGACCUUUAACCACGAGAUUAUAGCUUCCAAUGUAGAAUCGUGGCCACAUCUUUGACCUAACAAACAUGAAAAAUUUAGUGGUGAAAGUGAAACACCAUAAAUUACACACUUUGAUAUUAACUUGUUUAUUUAUUUAUGCAACAAAAGUAACAUUAUUUUGUUUUGGAGCUUUAUAUGAGAGAAUGUGUGAUGGAGAAUAAUUACUUCCAUCUAUUACUUAUUUAUUUUGAAAUUUAGCUCAUAAUUAAUUAAGAAGGGUAAUUAUAUAGUACAUUUUAGGGAGAAGAAUACUUAGUAAUCAAGAUGUGGUCAUUGAUAUAUGGUUGAUGUUCAUACGGAGAAAGUGGACGAAAGGCCAAAUUCAAGUCCCCAAAGCUCAAAGGAUCCUUUCACAAAGUCAUAGUAUCCUCCUUUGAGUGCCAAUGUCUUGUUCACCAAUCCCUCUCUCACAAAUGGGUAGGUGAGAAGGUUUCCAAGGGAAGCAUUCACAGCUUCCUGCACAUAAUUCAAUUUUAACUUGUAAGAUUCACUAAUAUGUCUUUCUUGUAAAUCAUUGUAUAUCAUUAGGGUUUGCAACACAUCCUCUAAUACUAUGUUUCCAACACUAUUAUUGGCUGAAAUUCAUAUCUGAAGAGACCGACAUGAAUUUAGACUAAUAAUAGUGUUCGGGAAAAGUGCUAACAACACAUUCUUUUCAACGCGUACUUUCUACAAGUUGAAAUUCAAAUGGAUUUUGCUAUAUCAUGUUGACUCGCAUAAAUUUUAUGCAAUCCAUAUGAAGUUCAUGCGAUAAAAAAGUGUGUUGUUAGCAGAAUUUUUAACAUUAUGUUUAAGUUUAGCUACAUGAUAAAUACUGGAAGAUAUUCAUCAAGCUUGUUGCUUGUGGAUUGGUUUGUACGCGUCUCAUACCUUCUCACAGUGUGUGCAUAGCUCUGCAAAAGGUGCAUCUCCAUGUUGUGCUUUCACCUUCGCCUUUGCAGGUAAACCAAUUUUGACCCACUCCUCAAUGAAAUCACUAAACACAAUUUAUAACUUUAUUUCAUCUUUUGUUAUGGAGAUAGAUUAUACAUUGUUGAUGCAAAGAAAAAAAGACUUACGUGGAGUAGGUUCCAUCAAAUGGAAAGGACAAAAGUCCCUUAAUACCACCACAAGCACUGUGUCCAAUGACAACAAUGUUGGAAACCUAUAGAAAAAUAAAAAUUUGUUGGAUUAACUAUUAUUUUCAGUUUAUCAAACUUUCCUACUAUAUACAUAAAAAAAAUUGUAGUCAGUUCAUUUAUUUUGUAAUAUAUACCUUGAGAUGCAGAACUGCGUACUCAAUUGCAGCACCAGUUCCGGCAUAUUUUGCCUGUUAUAUAGCAUAGUUAAACAAAUAAAUUAGUUUUGGGUAUAUAAUUGUAUUGGGGAAAUCUAUAUAUAUACAAGUGUUUCUAGUAUCCAACACGUGUCAAUGUUAGACACUAGUAUAAACUAAUUCAUCUGAUUACAUUCCGUCAUUUUCAUUUUUUCAAAUUAUAAUGUGUCAGUGUCGUAUCAUGUAUCUGUCAUUGUGUCUGUCUUUGAUAGGAAUCAACAUCAUAGAAGUCAAAGAGAUGCGUUUUGUUCCGAUAACAAGUGAAAAACAAACCUGGUCAUAUGGUGGAACCAAGUUAGCAACAUUUCUGACCACAAAGGCUUCACCUGGCUGGAAAUCUAGCACAUGAGAUGGGCAGACUCUUGAGUCUGAACAUGCAAACACCAUAAACUGAAAAGGAUAACAAAAUAAAAGAAAGUUAGGAUUCAAGUAAACAAAAGACUAAAAUCUAAAUUCAAAAGGGUUUUCUUCUAUAGAGCUCUGGUCACAGCAUACCGGAGGGCUUUGGCCUUUGGCAAGUUCACCAUACAAAGCUGGAUUCUUGCUGUGGAAAAAAAUGAUAAUAAAAUUGAAUGAGAAAGCUUAAGCUAGAAGAAAUUAAGGAUAUAACUGAUUAUGAAGGUAAAAUUUUUGUGAGUUUAGUGACUAACUCAUAUUUCUCUUUCUUGAAGUGAAGGAAACCAGUUUUGAUCCUUUCAGAGGCUUCAGAUUUUGGAAUGCCAUCAGAUGAUGAUGUUGUUCCUAGCUGAGCUGUGAUUUGCUCAACCUUCUCAGCAGCUGUGGCUUUCAGUUCAGUCUUCUCCCUAUAUUUGAAAUAUCAUAUAAUAAGAUAUUCAGUAACACCGACACUUCAGAGACAAAGACAUGUUUGAUUUCCAACACGUGUUUGUAUCAAACACCGAUACAUGUGAUUACAUUAAUUUAUUUAUUUUUUAUAAUUAUUAUUAGUGUCAAUGUCAGUAUUGUGUCCGGUGUUCGUGUUUGAGAUUACAUUUAGUUAUAUAUUGUAACUAGAGAAGGUGCUUGAGAUUUACCUCAACAACUUUUGGAGUUCUUCAAUAGCUUCAUCAUAGCCCUUUCCCA